AAAAUUAUCUAAAAUGGCGCUGUCGUGUUCGCACUGAAGUGCUCAGAGUGCCGAGAGUGCUGAUCACUGAUCACUGGUGCUGAUCAGGCCAGGCCAGUCAGGUUGAUCGAUAGAACCGAAGCGAGUUCGAGGGGCGAGCGAAGGCCUGAAAUGGCAAUAUCUCGCGAUCGCUCGGCGGUAUCGUGCUUCAAUUCUACUACGAAAGAAGAUAUCAUUGUCGGAAUAUAGUAGAUGAGCCAUUGGACGGGCGAGAAAAAUUCUAUACGUCGCGUUCGCUGUUCGUCGUAAUCGAUGUGGUUAUUUGUCAUUCGAAGCAGGCCCUGAGCUCUUUCGUAUGACAGUAUUUGGUAUUAUUAUCGGGGGUCGGUAAGCAGAGGGACAUCCAGAGAUCGGUGAACAAUGUCCAAGAUUGAUAAUCCAAAGCUGGUCGUGGCGCUGUUCACGUUCAAGGGAAAGAACAACGACGAGUUGUGCUUCAGGAAGGGAGAUGUCAUCACCAUUACUCAGAUGGACGACGGCGGAUGGUGGGAGGGCACGCUCAGUGACAAGACUGGAUGGUUUCCCUCCAACUAUGUCAAGGAGCAGAAAAAUUCAGACAGCAGCCAUUCGUCAGUAAAAUCCUCACCUGAAAAAACUACUCAAGAGUUGGCCAUCCAGCAGAGAGCUAACCGAAGCGUGGUCUUGAAGGACAUUAUCGAUUCAGAAAGAGCGAACGUCGCGGAGCUUCAGGGACUAGUUAACAACUUUCUAAAACCCUUAGACACAACCGGCAUACUGACGAGGGAAGAGUACAAACAGCUGGUUGGGAACAUACUCGACGUCCUGGAAAUCCAUCAACACCUUCUCACCAGUUUGGAGGCUGCCUGCGCUCAGGGUUCGGAUGCUAGAGCAGGAAACCUCUUCUUGGCUUUGGCGCCGAGGCUCAAGUCCAUUCACAUUGCCUACUGCGCUUCCCAUCCUCGAGCCGUUUGCAUAUUGGACAGAUUCAGAGAUGAGCUGAACGAGUUUAUGGAACACUGCGGAGCCGUUACUCCUGGUAUCCUUGUGCUAACGACUGGGUUAAGUAAGCCUUUUCGUAGAUUGGAAAAAUAUUCGGCCAUGCUGCAAGAGUUGGAGAGGCAUAUGGAAAAGAAUCACCCUGACAGAGGAGACACUCAGCGUAGCGUAUGCGUCUAUAGGGAAAUAGCGGAAAGGUGCAGCGCAAUAAGAAAACAGAAGGAAUUAGCUUUGACGGUAUUGGCGGGGGGAAUAAAAGGCUGGGAGGGAGAAGACCUCCACACUCUAGGUGAUAUAAUUUACGUCGGUCCUGUAACCCUUGCUACCGGAGUCGAUCGCAGGGAUCGAUACUUUGUGCUUUUUUCCACAACGCUGCUUGUCUUGAGCACGAGCCAGAGAAUGAGCUCCUUUGUCUACGAGGGCAAGCUUCCGUUGACUGGAAUUGCAGUGACGAAAAUCGAUGACACGGAGGAUAUGAAGAACGGUUUUGAAAUAUCGGGACCAAUGAUCGAAAGUAUACUCGCAGUCUGCCCUAGUCGAGAAGAGCGCCAGCAAUGGAUCGAAUAUCUGACCCAAGAGCAGCGUGUGAAUACAGCAAAAUCACCGUCGACGAUGCAGCACGUGAGUCCACUUCUGAAUGGAAAACAACCACGGAUGGGGGUGGAGGGCUGUCUUCCUCCAGGAAUUAGAUCGCCCUGGUCAAUCGCCUCGCUGCGACCAGCCCCCCCUCUGUACUCCUGCAAAAGUUUUGGCAAGACGGACCUAUUGGACGCCGGCGGUUCAAUGCGAAUCGGUAAUGAGCGGAUGUUCGAGGAGGAUGCCAUCAUAUUGAGAGUUAUAGAAGGCUACUGUGCCACUGUUAAUACUCGACUCACGGUGCACUCUGCCAUGCUAGAAUGCGAAGCAGUCCAUAAAGCUUGCGAUAAAAUGUCGAUAAUGCAUAAUAGAGUUGGAAAUUGGGAUGGAAGUGAAAACAGGAGUCUAUCGGAGACGGUUAAUACUCUGAAGGAACAGAUAAUCGACUUGCAGUCGCAAAUGGUGCUUCUAACGAGACAGCUGGAUGAUGAAAGGAAGUCACGCCUCUCCUUAGCUGCUACGGUUAAACGCAGUAUUGCUGUUAUGGAUGCUUCUGUGUCCUGAAACGUAAUUUUACUGAAACUUUUUUUCUGAGGGGUUGGAGUUCGAAAAAUUCGAAAAUCGUGUGUAUUAAUACUUGUGACAAUCUUCAAUCUCGUCAAAUCGGGAAAAGAAGUAUAGAGGGUAAUGGUUGCAGAAAGGUAAAAGAGAUCAGAGAGAUGUGGGAUUAAUUGGUAGUAGAAACGUAUCAGUAAAUCCAGCAUUUGCAAAUACCGCGAUCAUAAUUCCCCAUCAAUCGAUUGACUAAACAAUUAACAGAAAUCCUCGAUUGAUCUAUGAACAAUCUUAUUUUCACUAAAGCAAUAUUAGAUAGUGAGUACUAUGCGUGAGUUACUGAAGACUUGUCACCUCAGUUGACAGAGUUCUAUCCUUGUGUGCAAAGUUCUACCUACAAAUGAAGCAUAUCAUUAUCAGGUCGACGAGUUGUCCCGCGGGUCAGUUAGCAUCUGGGUACCGGCUUUUUUUCAUUGUUUGUUUCUUCCGGACAGAACAAUAUCCAUGUGUACUUACGAUUGGAUCAGUGCAUGGAAUAUGCUGCCUGUAGAUAUAACUGCAUUUUUUCAGCGUACAUUGUCGAGUAUGUUAUGUUAUUGUUAUUUUACACAUAGAAUUAGCAGAGGUAUACACGUACCGUUAUAAUAUGUUAGAGCCCCUCGUUCAGGUUGUCCCCUAGUGAGAAAUUCUAACUUCAGAUUGAUGUACAAAUGACUAACUCUUAUAUCCUACAAGAUAAAAAUAGACGGAAGGAGAGUAAGUAAUGAGGAAGCGAACAAAAAUUAUUUUGUAAUAAUAAAAUAUAGUGUAAAUAAAAUAGCUCUUAAAACGAUUGAUUAUAAAGAAGUGUUUGGUUGCA
rnacentral:misc_RNA from 1 species